CACACGGGUACUCUUUAAUAGUACUCACUGUCACAUAUACUAGUAAUCUUUAAAAAGUAUAAACUGUUAAACAUAUACUAGUAAUCUUUUAAAAGUAUUCACUGUGACAUAUACAGUAUACUGGUACUCUUUUAAAAGUAUUCACUGUCACAUAUACUGGUACUCAAAGUAUUUAUAGUAUUAUAAAGAAACACUAGUGUCUCUAUUGCCCUGUAGGCAACACGUCUUAAAGGGCCAGCGUGUAGAUUUAGGGUGAACUGUUGGUAGAAAUGUAAUAUAAUAUCAACAUGUGUGUUUCUUUGGUUCAUAACCACCUGUGAAUCAGAGGUUGUGUUGUUGUCUUUACACACAGAGUGGUCCUCAACACAAACACCGGCUCCACAGGCUUUGGUUUCAGUUGGUGCCACUUUGUAACCUCACCACUAGAUGGCGCCAGAUCCUACACACUGCACCUUUAAACUGUCAAAUCGCAGGUUUUAAAAACAUUGUCAAUUCUGGCCACGCAGAUCCUAGACGAACCGCUGUCCAAUAGAACGGAAUAAUGGCGAAAAGGUUUUCCCUGUAUCCUACUGCGCACGAGUCGAGGCCCAAAGCAUCCCUCCUACCUUUCAUCUUGAAGAC